rnacentral:rRNA from 1 species
AACGAACGCUGGCGGCAGGCCUAACACAUGCAAGUCGAACGCGCGUAGCAAUACGCGAGUGGCGCACGGGUGAGUAACACGUGGGAAUCAACCCAGAGGUUCGGAAUAACCGCGGGAAACUGCGGCUAAUACCGGAUAUCCCCUACGGGGGAAAGAUUUAUCGCCUUUGGACGAGCCCGCGUCCGAUUAGCUAGUUGGUGAGGUAACGGCUCACCAAGGCUCCGAUCGGUAGCUGGUCUGAGAGGACGACCAGCCACACUGGAACUGAGACACGGUCCAGACUCCUACGGGAGGCAGCAGUGGGGAAUAUUGGGCAAUGGAGGCAACUCUGACCCAGCCAUGCCGCGUGGGUGACGAAGGUCUUCGGAUUGUAAAGCCCUUUCGGCGGGAACGAUGAUGACGGUACCCGCAGAAGAAGCCCCGGCUAACUACGUGCCAGCCGCCGCAGUAACAC